UACGUAGGGGGCAAGCGUUAUCCGGAUUUACUGGGUGUAAAGGGAGCGUAGACGGUAAUGUAAGUCUGAUGUGAAAGCCCGGGGCUCAACUCCGGGACUGCUUUUGAAACUGCCAAGCUAGAGUGUCGGAGAGGUAAGCGGAAUUCCUGGUGUAGCGGUGAAAUGCGUAGAUAUCAGGAGGAACACCAGUGGCGAAGGCGGCUUACUGGACUGUAACUGACGUUGAGGCUCGAAAGCGUGGGGAGCAAACAGG
rnacentral:rRNA from 1 species